UGGAAGAAUUCCGCCAAAGUGAAACCAAAAAACGUUGUCAAUUUGGAUCGCCAAUUUUUGUCGUCGAAAGCGAAUGGAUGAACGCUUCAGCGGGACUAGCAUUUACACCACAUGUACUACACGUUGGAGUCGGAGAGGAUAUUGCGGCAAAAAUACUGGCAUUUGCACGACAGAGACCGAGAUGUGUUAUGCAUCAUGGCAGGUAGUGGAUCGGUUUCUUCGGUGCCACUACGCCAGCCCACAACUUCUGGUGCCAAUAUUACGUUUCAGGUUAAUGCAUUUUCUACUCGUAUACUUCUUUAUACUAACCAAAUAAAUUUUUUUCGUUAAUGAAUUAAUGGCAUAAUUGUAAAUUGUGUGCCACUUUGGUUGCAUAUUUAGUACGUACUAUGAAGCAUCUAUUUACCAUUUUAAU